CACACCUGAAAGGCAUCACCCCACCUUGAGAUCUGUACUCCUCCCCUCUCCUCUUCUCCUCUUUUCCCUCACAAGUCUCCCUCUCUCUCACUUUCAAUCUCUGCAUCAUUUUAUUGUGAGAGCAAGCCACAAAAUGGCCUCCAUCACUGCUGAUAGGAAAGAGACCAACCAUCCUUGAUGCCAGGGAAAGGAAUGGGCGAAGAAGUAUGGCAGGUCAUAGUGUGGUUGUUGUCCUGCUGGCAUUGCUGCUCCCCUCCCCUUCACCGCUCGCCUGCCCCCUUCCUCUCGUCACGAGAUGCAGUUUGCACAAAGCCACCAUCUUAGAGCACGCGGGCAUUACAUGGAAGUGAAAAAUAAGCAGAGUCAAAUGGAGUAAUGUGAAAUCCAUUAAAUGGAGGAUCAUUCAUACCGACGAUGGCGGAUGGAGUUAAACGGGUCUUUACUAUGCAUGCACCCCAACAUCUGAUAAAAACAGCACUUUAUGUUGUGUAUGACUUCAAUCUUGGCAGUUGUGAAGCAGAUAUAACAGCCGUUGUUGGCUGUUUGCUGUGAGCCAAGAGUAUAUGUGUGCAUGUGUGUGUGGUAAAAAAAAAGUGUAUUAGAAAGUAUCUUAAAGUAUUUCUGUUAGUCUUUCUUUGUACGGGUCUGGGUUAAAGUACUUAUCAAACUGUGUUUUAGUAUAUACACAUUUAUUUGUGAUU